rnacentral:rRNA from 1 species
GACGAACGCUGGCGGCGUGCUUAACACAUGCAAGUCGAACGGUGAAGCGCCUUCCUUUUUGGUGGGUGUGGAUGAGUGGCGAACGGGUGAGUAACACGUGAGUAACCUGCCCCCUUCUUCUGGAUAACCGCAUGAAAGUGUGGCUAAUACGGGAUAUUCUGGGUCUGUCGCAUGAUGGGUCUGGGAAAGAUAUUGUUUCGGUGGGGGAUGGGCUCGCGGCCUAUCAGCUUGUUGGUGGGGUGAUGGCCUACCAAGGCGGUGACGGGUAGCCGGCCUGAGAGGGUGGACGGUCACACUGGGACUGAGACACGGCCCGGACUCCUACGGGAGGCAGCAGUGGGGAAUAUUGCACAAUGGGCGCAAGGCUGAUGCAGCGACGCCGCGUGAGGGAUGGAGGCCUUCGGGUUGUGAACCUCUUUCGCCAGUGAAGCAGGCCUGCCUCGUUUGUGGGUGGGUUGACGGUAGCUGGAGAAGAAGCGCCGGCUAACUACGUG